rnacentral:rRNA from 2 species
CCCAGGUCAGGCGGGACUA